AACGAACGCUGGCGGCAGGCCUAACACAUGCAAGUCGAGCGGACCCUUCGGGGUUAGCGGCGGACGGGUGAGUACGCGUGGGAAUAUGCCCUUCUCUACGGAAUAGUCCUGGGAAACUGGGGGUAAUACCGUAUACGCCCUUUGGGGGAAAGAUUUAUCGGGGAAGGAUUAGCCCGCGUUGGAUUAGGUAGUUGGUGGGGUAAUGGCCUACCAAGCCGACGAUCCAUAGCUGGUUUGAGAGGAUGAUCAGCCACACUGGGACUGAGACACGGCCCAGACUCCUACGGGAGGCAGCAGUGGGGAAUCUUAGACAAUGGGGGCAACCCUGAUCUAGCCAUGCCGCGUGAGUGAUGAAGGCCUUAGGGUUGUAAAGCUCUUUCAGCUGGGAAGAUAAUGACGGUACCAGCAGAAGAAGCCCCGGCUAACUCCGUG
rnacentral:rRNA from 1 species